GGCUUCUUCAUUCUUAGUUCAGUUGCUUGGUUUUUUUACCUCAAGAUCUUUUUGAAGCAGCUCUUUUUGACAUGAAGAUGGCUGGUCUUGGAUGAUACUGGUUUUUGUGUUUUCUUAGAGUGGAAGGCGAACUAGAUAUUUUAAUACAAUUGAUCAUCUCCAAAGGUAUAUCUGCAGUUGAAUCACAAGAGGAUGCCUCUAAUCCCCCAAAAUAAUCUUGAAAGGUACUCUCGUUGUUGUCUUCAAUUUCACCGUUCUUUAAAGAUUGAAAACAGGUGCUUCCAUGAACAUUACCAUGUGUUGAUUUCAACAAUUUUGAUGCACAGUAUUCGCCUGAACUAGGAUGUUCAAGAAAUGCCGUUGAAUAUCCAGAACAUUGCGACACUGUAAA
rnacentral:lncRNA from 1 species